GAGUCGCGUAGAAUAAACGCACCGUAUGAUUCAAUUUCUCUGUUAGGUUUCCUUGUAACCGUUUUCAAUCUUUCUAACUCUGAAUUCAAACUCAUUCUAAUUCAUCAUCGAUUCAUUCAAUGUCUCGUUGUCGCGAAUCUUCGUUCGACCCAAUUUCUUCUCUGUUUGCGAAACUGAUUCGUUCUUUCGUUAAUCUUUAUUUCUCUUGAACAAUUCAUUAUGUUAUUUUAGGGUUUCAUGUUUCUGAACCCUAACAAUCUUGAUUCAAUUUGAAAGAGAUAUGUAGAAAUGGAAAAGAAUUAUAAUUAACCAUUAAACGACGACCUUGCUAAGGAGUGUGCAUUCGCUUCACUCUCAAUUUGAAUGGUCCUCUUUGUCUUGCUUAGCACAAAGAUCGCCGUUUUAUUCAGAUUAGGAGGUCUUCGUACCAUGAUGUGAUUAGGGUGAAUGAGAUUCAAGUGUUGGACAUAACUGGUAUUUAAACAUACAUUAUCAAUAGUGCAAGAGUUGUGUUCUUGAAUGAAAGACCUCAACCUAGCUAGGCCAGGAAAAGGUGUCACAAACACUUGUGAAGUUUGUGAAAGGAGCCUUCUUGAUUUUUUUUCGGUUCUGUUCUCUUCUCUUGGUUGCAAGGAUGGUAUACAUGAAAUAUUUGAUAGUCUAAAUGCAAGCUGAAACUUUGAUGCGAAGAAGGUUGUGUGACUUGGUAAUUUUGACGCGAAAUGGAGUAUAUGUCACUCAAUAUCCCUAAAUUGAUGGUCUGAAUGGAACUUGAAUGUCAAUGCUUAUUCAUAACUUUCAAAUGUAAGUGAAGAUGACACUUGGUGCUAUAGAUGCGAAAUAGUAUAUAUGUCCAUCCAUGUCCCUAAAUGGAAUACAUCUCCCUCGAUGUUCCUAAAUUGAACAUAUGUCCCUCGAUGUCCCUAACUUGAAUAUAUGUCUCUCGAUGUUCCUAGAUUGAAGGUUUGAAUGAAUGCAAUUUCAAUGUGAAUGCUUAUUCAUAACUUGAAAUGUAAGUGGAGACGACCCUUGAUGUAAUGAGUAUACUAUGCUUUUUGUAAUGGUAAAUUGGGAUGAUGAUUUUGUGCCGAGUGAUCUUAGAUGCAAAAAUUGAAUAUAUGUCCCUUGAUAACCGUAAAUUGUUGGCCUAAAUUCAAUUUCAUUAUGAAUUUUUAUUCAUAACUUGAUAUGCAUA